UGGGGAAUAUUGGACAAUGGGGGGAACCCUGAUCCAGCCAUGCCGCGUGUGUGAAGAAGGCCUUAUGGUUGUAAAGCACUUUAAGCGAGGAGGAGGGUACUGGUAUUAAUACUACCAGGUACUGGACGUUACUCGCAGAAUAAGCACCGGCUAACUCUGUGCCAGCAGCCGCGGUAAUACAGAGGGUGCGAGCGUUAAUCGGAUUUACUGGGCGUAAAGCGUGCGUAGGCGGCUAAUUGAGUCGGAUGUGAAAUCCCCGAGCUUAACUUGGGAAUUGCAUCCGAUACUGGUUAGCUAGAGUGUGGGAGAGGAUGGUAGAAUUCCAGGUGUAGCGGUGAAAUGCGUAGAGAUCUGGAGGAAUACCGAUGGCGAAGGCAGCCAUCUGGCCUAACACUGACGCUGAGGUACGAAAGCAUGGGGAGCAAACAGG
rnacentral:rRNA from 1 species